rnacentral:rRNA from 1 species
AGUGGAUGGGGAGCAACCUAGUUGUGCGUGUGUAAAGGUAGUGCCAAGAAAAGCGAUGAUCAUGUUGAAAAUCAAUUCCCGGUACCCGAAACCGACACAGGUGGGCAAGUAGAGAAUACUAAGGGGCGCGAGGUAACUCUCUCCAAGGAACUCGGCAAAAUGACCCCGUAACUUAGGGAGAAGGGGUGCCACCGAGAGGUGGUCGCAGUGAAGAGGCCCAGGCGACUGUUUAGCAAAAACAUAGGUCUCUGCAAACUCGAAAGAGGAGGUAUAGGGGCUGACGCCUGCCCAGUGCCGGAAGGUUAAAGAAGUUGGUCAGUCUUAGGAUGAAGCUAGCGACUGAAGCCCCGGUGAACGGCGGCCGUAACUAUAACGGUCCUAAGGUAGCGAAAUUCCUUGUCGGGUAAGUUCCGACCCGCACGAAAGGCGUAACGAUCUGGGCGCUGUCUCGGAGAGAGGCUCGGCGAAAUAGGAUUGUCUGUGAAGAUACGGACUACCUGCAUUUGGACAGAAAGACCCUAUGAAGCUUUACUAUAGCUUGGAAUUGUGUUCGGGCUUCCUGUGCGCAGGAUAGGUGGGAGGCGUAGAAGGUAUUCUUGUGGGGAUACUGGAGCCAACGGUGAGAUACCACUCUCAGGAGGCUAGAAUUCUAACUUAAUUAAGGACAGUUUCAGGUGGGUAGUUUGACUGGGGCGGUCGCCUCCAAAAAGGUAACGGAGGCGUACAAAGGUUCCCUCAGACUGGUUGGAAAUCAGUCGAAGAGUGCAAAGGCAGAAGGGAGCUUGACUGCGAGAAGUACAGUUCGAGCAGGGUGGAAACACGGUCUUAGUGAUCCGACGGUGCUGUGUGGAAGGGCCGUCGCUCAACGGAUAAAAGUUACUCUAGGAUAACAGGCUGAUCUCCCCCAAGAGUUCACAUCGACGGGGAGGUUUGGCACCUCGAUGUCGGCUCAUCGCAACCUGGGGCGGAAGUACGUCCCAAGGGUUGGGCUGUUCGCCCAUUAAAGCGGUACGUGAGCUGGGUUCAGAACGUCGUGAGACAGUUCGGUCCAUAUCCGAUGUAGGCGUGAGAAUAUUGAGAGGAGCCUUCCUUAGUACGAGAGGACCGGGAAGGACGCACCGCUGGUGUACCUGUUAUGAUGCCAAUUGUAAACGCAGGGUAGCCAAGUGCGGAGAGGAUAACCGCUGAAAGCAUCUAAGUGGGAAGACCACCUCAAGAUGAGUAUUCUGGUGUAAGGUCACGGGAAGACGACCCGUAAAUAGGCACGAGGUGGAAGUGCAGAGAUGUAUGAAGCCGAAGUGUACUAAUAGACCGUCGGCUUGACC